GGCUCCACUGCUGUUCAUAAACCAUGAGAGUGUUUAUGUCAUGGGCAGAGCUCCCCAAGUGAAUUAUAGCCUUUUACGCACUGUGUACGUACAGUAUUUUCACAGGACAAAGAAACAGGGUGUGGAAGGAAUGCUACAGUUGACCCUCCUCUCUUUCCAACAACUCUGGAUUCUGCAUAUAAAUCUGAGGCAGUCUGGUUUCUAGAAGAAGACACCCUGACAUUAUUUAAGAAUCUCAGGCUGGGCGCAGUGGCUUACACCUGUAAUCCUAGCACUUUGGGAGGCUGAGGUGGGCGGAUCACCUGAGGUCAGGAGUUCGAGACCAGCCUGGCCAACAUAGCAAAACCCCAUCUCUACUAAAAAUACACAAAUUAGUCUGGCGUGGUGGCACAUGCCGAUAGUCCCAGCUACUCAGAAGGCUGAGGCAGGAGAAUUGCUUGAUCCUGGGAGGUGGAGGUUGCAGUGAGCCGAGAUUGCACCACUGUACUCCAGCCUAGGCAACAGAGCAAGAUUCUGUCGCAAAAUAAAAUAAA
rnacentral:lncRNA from 1 species